CUUUGCACCUAAAGCCUAAAUGCACAACCACAUGAGAGAGAGAGAGAGAUAGAAUCUGCAUUCAAUUCAUUUCAUUCAAUAUCCAACGCGUUCAAAAAUUCAUACCAAAACAAACGUCCAAGUCCUCGAUUCAACAAUUCACCCAUAUAUUUCCCUAAUUCCUAUCACUGAGUCUAAAUAGAGCAAAGCAACACAUGAACCCCAAAACAAUGGAAUCAAAAUUAAACGGCGCAGGGGCCUUAAGAGGGAUCCAAACCUUAGGGGUUGGUCCCUCUGACAUUGGACUACAUCAUUGCAAUACAAAUUUGAGAUGAAGAGGUAGAAAUCUUAGCUGUUGGAGUAGCUAUGGAGGCUCCUCAUAGGUGUCGUGUGUCAAAGAAAUUUAAAGGUUCCCCGCUUCAGGGUGGAAGCACACUUGGCUUAGGCAAGGUUGGACAUGGAUUAAUCAAGGCAUGGAAUUUUGGUAAAAAGACCAAGGACCGUGAAGAAAAAAAGACUAGGGUAGCUUGGGAUUGAAGAUAGUAUUGUAAUUAGGUUAGGACUAGUAGAGUUGACUUUGGUCAACUGAUUGACAAAAAAGUCAAUAGUUGACCAAAGUUAAUUGUAGGUCAAAGUUGUAUUCUUUUGUAGGUUUUAGAUUUUGUAUCUUUGUAAUGACUUUGUAAAUGGAUGUAAACCUUGAUGUAUUUGUAAUGAAGAAUGGGUUUCUAA